AGGAAGCUGAGGCUUCAGAAGAGGCUUGCCUCCAGUGUCCUCUGCUGUGGCUAAAAGAAGAUCUGGUUGGAUCCCAGUGAGACCAAUGUAAUCUCGAAGGCCAACUAUCAGAUCUGGAUCAGAUCUGGAAGCUGAUCAAAAAUGGCUGAUCAUCCACAAAACAGUGACUAUCCAUUAUGGGGCUGCAUGUCAGAAAAUUACCUUGGCUCCCCAGAGGCACAGACAUGUGGGCAUAGGUAAGCAGAAGAGUACAGCUAAUGCUCCAAUGCAGGAGAAGUUCACCUUCAUGCAGAGGAUGCAGAUUCUGUGUAGGCUGCUCAGAGAUACCGUGAAUCUAACAUUUACCACCAUAUAUAUCACAGCCUCUACCUGAAGGUAAAGGGCAAUGUGUACAAAAACAAGUGGAUCCUCAUGGAGGAUAUCCACAAGCUGAAGGCAGGUAAGGCUGACAAGAAGCUUCUGGCUGACCAGGCUGAGACCUGCAGGUAUAAGAACAAGGGAGCACACAAGCACUAGGAGGAGCGCUCCAGGCCAAGGAGGUGGACAUCAUACAGACUCUGUCCAAGGAGGAAGAGACCAAGAAAUAAAGCUCCCCUCUUGUGUUUGUAUAUAGUGGCCUUGGUGAUAACACAAAUACUCCUUGGACUAUAAACGAACUUUAUCUGUUAAAAAAAUAAAAACUAUAUUGUACCAAAU
rnacentral:lncRNA from 1 species